AUUGAACGCUGGCGGCAUGCCUUACACAUGCAAGUCGAACGCGAAAAGGGCUUCGGCUCUGAGUAGAGUGGCGUCCGGGUGAGUAACGCGUGGGUAAUCUACCUUUGGGUGGGGAAUAACUAGUCGAAAGGCUAGCUAAUACCGCAUAACGCAAUUUUCUAUUAGGGAAUUGUUAAAGCAGUAAUGUGCCUAAAGAUGAGCCUGCGUCUGAUUAGUUUGUUGGUAGGGUAAUGGCCUACCAAGACUACUAUCAGUAGCUGGUCUGAGAGGACGGCCAGCCACAAUGGCACUGAAACACGGGCCAUACUCCUACGGGAGGCAGCAGUGGGGAAUUUUGCGCAAUGAGCGAAAGCUUGACGCAGCAACGCCGCGUGAAGGAUGAAAUCCUUCGGGAUGUAAACUUCGCAAGUAUGGGAAGAAACAAAUGACGGUACCAUAUGUAAGCCCCGGCUAACUCCGUGCCAGCAGCCGCGGUAA
rnacentral:rRNA from 1 species